GGGUGAAUGGGAAGGGAAGGGGGUCAGGGAAGGCCUCCUUAAGGAAGCUGCCCGUUAAAUGAAGCCCCAAAUGCUGAGCAGGAAGCGGCCAGAUGAACAGAAUAGGGGAGGGUUGUCUAUGGCCAUACCACCCUGAGCGCACCCCAUCUCCUCUGAUCUCGGAAGCUCAGCAGGGUCGGGCCUGUAGAGACGGGGUUUCACCAUGUUGGCCAGGCUGGUCUCGAAUUCCUGACUUCAAGUGAUCUGCCUGCCUCAACAUCCAAAAUUGCUGGGAUUACAGGAGUGAGCCACCACGUCCGGUCCUGCCAUCAUUCUUAACAAGAGCGCCCCCACCAUCGUCCAGGGAGAGAUGGAAUAUCCAGAGAAGAACAGAGCUCACAGAAGCAGGUCCUUCAGGAGGCAUCCAGAAGAAGGUGUUAUCGCAGAUGACAGUCCAUGCCUGCCAUUGCCCCUGAAGGCCUCCCAGGGGGCCAAGAUGUGGAGGCGGAAGACACUCUACCCUGAGUAGGCCUAGGCUAAUAGUAAAUUAAACAACUGAAGGAAGGUCCCUGUGAGCUGCAGUCCUGGGAGAAGAGGAAACCCUUCAACAUGGAUUCUGGAAAGAACAGCCUUGGCUUUCUUCUGAACAAAAAGUUCUGGCCCAGCUGGACCCGGGGUGGGCACCGGGAGUGCAGGCUGAUAGUCCUCUCCUGCCAGCUUUGCGAGGCGUGGGGAGCACCUGCAGCAUGGCUCACCUGAACCCAGUCCCCAGGCCCAUGGCCUCCGAGAGAUGAACACUGGCUGCCCAGAAGCAGGUGUGGGUAGGAGGGCAGAGGGACUGCCCGCAGACGUCCCUGGGCUCCCUGGCUCCUUUCUGCUGAUGUGCCGCCUCAGUCGGACAGAGGUUUCAACACACUUGUACCCUUCCCAACACAGGCCAGGUGUCUCCGGGGCCUGGAAGAAAACCAAGGUCAGGGGAUCUCCUAGUUCAACAAGGGAGAACAACAUGUAAGGAAGAUAAGAAUUAAAGCCGUGUCGGAUGUGAG